rnacentral:rRNA from 1 species
GGGGAAUAUUGCGCAAUGGGGGAAACCCUGACGCAGCAAUACCGCGUGAGUGAAGAAGGUUUUCGGAUCGUAAACCUCUUUCAGCAGGGAAGAAGCGAAAGUGACGGUACCUGCAGAAGAAGCGCCGGCUAACUACGUGCCAGCAGCCGCGGUAAUACGUAGGGGACAAGCGUUGUCCGGAUUUACUGGGCGUAAAGGGCACGCAGGCGGUUUUUUAAGUCAGAUGUGAAAGGUACCGGCUCAACCGGUGACAUGCAUUUGAAACUGAAAGACUUGAGUAUUGGAGAGGCAAGUGGAAUUCCUAGUGUAGCGGUGAAAUGCGUAGAUAUUAGGAGGAACACCGGUGGCGAAGGCGGCUUGCUGGACAAAUACUGACGCUGAGGUGCGAAAGCGUGGGGAGCAAACA